AGCUUUGCGCAACGGCAGUAUUGCAGCCAAUGAGGUUUAUCUGAGGUGCAAUUAUUGCUAAUUGAAAACUUUUCUCAAUACCCCACCAUGAAGACUUAAAAUACAGUAGGCAUUGGCAAUUUUUGACAGUCUUUACGGAGA